GAAUUGACGGGGCCCGCACAAGCGGUGGAGCAUGUGGUUUAAUUCGAAGCAACGCGAAGAACCUUACCAGGUCUUGACAUCCCCUGACAACCCGAGAGAUCGGGCGUUCCCCUUCGGGGGACAGGGUGACAGGUGGUGCAUGGUUGUCGUCAGCUCGUGUCGUGAGAUGUUGGGUUAAGUCCCGCAACGAGCGCAACCCUCGACCUUAGUUGCCAGCAUUCAGUUGGGCACUCUAAGGUGACUGCCGGCUAAAAGUCGGAGGAAGGUGGGGAUGACGUCAAAUCAUCAUGCCCCUUAUGACCUGGGCUACACACGUGCUACAAUGGGCGGUACAAAGGGUCGCGAACCCGCGAGGGGGAGCCAAUCCCAAAAAGCCGCUCUCAGUUCGGAUUGCAGGCUGCAACUCGCCUGCAUGAAGCCGGAAUCGCUAGUAAUCGCGGAUCAGCAUGCCGCGGUCGAAUACGUUCCCGGGCCUU
rnacentral:rRNA from 1 species